rnacentral:lncRNA from 1 species
CAAACCUGCAUUAACAUUUAAAGAAGGCAGGCCAAGCAUGGUGGCUCAUGUUUGUAAUCCCAGCACUUUGUAAGGCCAAGGCGGGAGAAUCACUUGGGUGCAGAAGUUUGAGACCAGCCUGGGCAACAUAGUGAGACCCCAUCUCUAUAAAAAUUUUUAGCCCUCACUCGCCGCCGACGACCUGUCUCGCUGCGUGCACGCCCUGCCGCCGCCCCGCAGAAAUGCUUCGGUUACCCACAGUCUUUCGCCAGAUGAGACUGGUGUCCAGGGUGCUGGCUCCUCAUCUCACUGGGGCUUAUGCCAAAGAUGUAAAAUUCGGUGCAGAUGCCCGAGCCUUAAUGCUUCAAGGUAUAGACCUUUUAGCCGAUGCUGUAGCCCUUACAAUGGGGCCAAAGGGAAGAAGAACAGUGAUUAUCGAGCAGAGCUGGGGAAGUCCCAAAGUAACAAAAGAUGGUGUGACUGUUGCAAAGUCAAUUGACUUAAAGGAUAAAUAUAAAAACAUUGGAGCUAAACUUGUUCAAGAUGUUGCCAAUAACACAAAUGAAGAGACUGGGGAUGGCCCUACCACUGCUACUGUACUGGCACGCUCUAUAGCCAAGGAAGGCAUCGAGAAGAUUAGCAAAGGUGCUAAUCCAGUGGAAAUCAGGAGAGGUGUGAUGUUAGUUGUUGAUGCUGUAAUUGCUGAACUUAAAAAGCAGUCUAAACCUGUGACCACCCCUGAAGAAAUUGCACAGGUUGCUACAAUUUCUGCAAACGGAGACAAAGAAAUUGGCAAUAUCUCUGAUGCAAUGAAAAAGGUUGGAAGAAAGGGUGUCAUCACAGUAAAGGAUGGAAAAACACUGAAUGAUGAAUUAGAAAUUAUUGAAGGCAUAAAGUUUGAUCGAGGCUAUAUUUCUCCAUACUUUAUUAAUACAUCAAAAGGUCAGAAAUGUGAAUUCCAGGAUGCCUAUGUUCUGUUGAGCGAAAAGAAAAUUUCUAGUGUCCAGUCCGUUGUACCUGCUCUUGAAAUUGCCAAUGCUCACCGUAAGCCUUUGGUCAUAAUCGCUGAAGACGUUGAUGGAGAAGCUCUAAGUACACUCGUCUUGAAUAGGCUAAAGGUUGGUCUUCAGGAUGUGGCAAUCAAGGCUCCAGGGUUUGGUGACAAUAGAAAGAACCAGCUUAAAGAUAUGGCAAUUGCUACUGGUGGUGCAGUGUUUGGAGAAGAGGGGCUGACCCUAAAUCUUGAAGAUGUUCAGCCUCAUGACUUAGGAAACGUUGGAGAGGUCAUUGUGACCAAAGAUGAUGCCACGCUCUUAAAAGAAAAAGGUGACAAGGCUCAAAUUGAAAAACGUAUUCAAGAAAUCAUUGAGCAGUUAGAUGUCACAACUAGUGAAUAUGAAAAGGAAAAACUGAAUGAACGGCUGGCAAAACUUUCAGAUGUAGUAGCUGUGCUGAAGGUUGGUGGGACAAGUGAUGUUGAAGUGAAUGAAAAGAAAGACAGAGUUCGGAUGCCCUUAAUGCUACAAGAGCUGCUGUUGAAGAAGGCUUUGUAUUGGGAGGGGGUUGUGCCCUGCUUCGAUGCAUUCUAGCCUUGGACUCAUUGACUCCAGCUAAUGAAGAUCAAAAAAUUGGUACAGAAAUUAUUAAAGAACACUCAAAAUUCCAGCAAUGACCAUUGCUAAGAAUGCAGGUGUUGAAGGAUCUUCGAUAGUUGAGAAAAUUACGCAAAUUUCCUCAGAAGCUGGUUAUGAUGCUAUGGUUGGAGAUUUUGUGAAUAUGGUGGAAAAAUGAAUUAUUGACCCAACAAAGGUUGUGAGAACUGCUUUAUUGGAUGCCGCUGGUGUGACCUCUCUGUUAACUACAGCAGAAGUUGUAGUCACAGAAAUUCCUAAAGAAGAGAAGGACCCUGGAAUGGGUGCAAUGGGUAGAAUGGGAGGUGGUAUGGGAAGUGGCAUGUUCUAACUCCUAGACUAGUGCUUUACCUUUAUUAAUGAACUGUGACAGGAAGCCCAAGGCAGUGUUCCUCACCAAUAACUUCAGAGAAGUCAGUUGGAGAAAAAUGAAGAAAAAGGCUGGCUGAAAAUCACUAUAACCAUCAGUUACUGGUUUCAGUUGACAAAAUAUAUAAUGGUUUACUGCUGUCAUUGUCCAUGCCUAUAGAUAAUUUAUUUUGUAUUUUUGAAUAAAAAACAUUUGUACAUUCCUGAUACUGGGUAAAAGAGCCAUGUACCAAUGUAUGGCUUUCAACUUAAAUCACUGAGGCAUUUUUACUACUAUUCUGUUAAAAUCAGGAUUUUUAGUGCUUGCCACCACCAGAUGAGAAGUUAAGCAGCCUUUCUGUGGAGAGUGAGAAUAAUUGUGUACAAAGUAG